rnacentral:sRNA from 1 species
UUGCGGCAGGGAUAGCAGCGACAUCCUUUUUUGUUACUCAGAACAUUUUACGCCUUUUGCGUAUAAUGUGCCACUGAUACCCAAAAAGAUAUAGCGAAUAGCCCGGUUGCUG